rnacentral:rRNA from 1 species
AUUGAACGCUGGCGGCAUGCCUUACACAUGCAAGUCGAACGGCAGCACGGGAGCAAUCCUGGUGGCGAGUGGCGAACGGGUGAGUAAUGUGUCGGAACGUGCCCAGUCGUGGGGGAUAACGCAGCGAAAGCUGUGCUAAUACCGCAUACGAUCUAUGGAUGAAAGCGGGGGAUCGCAAGACCUCGCGCGAUUGGAGCGGCCGAUAUCAGAUUAGGUAGUUGGUGGGGUAAAGGCCCACCAAGCCGACGAUCUGUAGCUGGUCUGAGAGGACGACCAGCCACACUGGAACUGAGACACGGUCCAGACUCCUACGGGAGGCAGCAGUGGGGAAUUUUGGACAAUGGGCGCAAGCCUGAUCCAGCAAUGCCGCGUGCAGGAUGAAGGCCUUCGGGUUGUAAACUGCUUUUGUACGGAACGAAACGGUUCUCUCUAAUACAGGGGGCUAAUGACGGUACCGUAAGAAUAAGCACCGGCUAACUACGUGCCAGCCGCCGCCGUAA